GAUGAACGCUAGCGGCAGGCUUAACACAUGCAAGUCGAGGGGUAUAGUUCUUCGGAAUUAGAGACCGGCGCACGGGUGCGUAACGCGUAUGCAAUCUACCUUUCACAGAGGGAUAGCCCCAGAGAAAUUUGGAUUAAUACCUCAUAGUAUAGCAGUUUCGCAUGAAACCACUAUUAAAGUCACAACGGUGAAAGAUGAGCAUGCGUCCCAUUAGCUAGUUGGUAAGGUAACGGCUUACCAAGGCAACGAUGGGUAGGGGUCCUGAGAGGGAGAUCCCCCACACUGGUACUGAGACACGGACCAGACUCCUACGGGAGGCAGCAGUGAGGAAUAUUGGUCAAGUGGGCGCAAGCCUGAACCAGCCAUGCCGCGUGCAGGAAGACGGUCCUAUGGAUUGUAAACUGCUUUAUACACGGAAGAAACACUCCGACGUGUCGGAGCUUGCGGUAACUGUAAGAAUAAGGAUCGGACUAACUCCGUGCC
rnacentral:rRNA from 1 species